CAGGAUGCCCAUGUAUAUGAAAGAGCUACCAGACCCUAAGAGACUCCUGGAGAAUCCUGAAGUCUAUGCAGAGACCAAAGGGAUCAUCCCUCUGCUGAGUAAAGAGUUAAGAUGUUCAAAGACAAAGGGCUUCAAGGUGAUGUUGAUUCUGCAUGAAGGUAAAGGGCUUCAGCAUGUGGUCACUGUUGGUAUGAGAGGAGGAGAAGGCUACCAGCAUGGUGAAAAAAGAUACUACAAAUAA
rnacentral:lncRNA from 14 species